rnacentral:rRNA from 1 species
CCUACGGGAGGAUGCAGUGAGGAAUAUUGGUCAAUGGACGAGAGUCUGAACCAGCCAAGUAGCGUGAAGGAUGACUGCCCUAUGGGUUGUAAACUUCUUUUAUAUGGGAAUAAAACGUUCCACGUGUGGGAUUUUGUAUGUACCAUAUGAAUAAGGAUCGGCUAACUCCGUGCCAGCAGCCGCGGUAAUACGGAGGAUCCGAGCGUUAUCCGGAUUUAUUGGGUUUAAAGGGAGCGUAGGUGGAUUGUUAAGUCAGUUGUGAAAGUUUGCGGCUCAACCGUAAAAUUGCAGUUGAAACUGGCAGUCUUGAGUACAGUAGAGGUGGGCGGAAUUCGUGGUGUAGCGGUGAAAUGCUUAGAUAUCACGAAGAACUCCGAUUGCGAAGGCAGUUCACUGGACUGCAACUGACACUGAGGCGCGAAAGUGUGGGUAUCAAACAGGAUUAGAUACCCCAGUAGUC